GGCCCUUUAGCUCAGCGGUAGAGCGUCGGCUUCCAGUUCCGAAGGUCAUCCGUUCAAAUCGGGUAGGGGUCA
rnacentral:tRNA from 1 species